rnacentral:rRNA from 1 species
GACGGAGGAUGCAAGCGUUAUCCGGAAUGAUUGGGCGUAAAGCGUCCGCAGGUGGCAGUUCAAGUCUGCUGUCAAAGACCGGGGCUUAACUUCGGAAAGGCAGUGGAAACUGAACAGCUAGAGUAUGGUAGGGGCAGAGGGAAUUCCCGGUGUAGCGGUGAAAUGCGUAGAGAUCGGGAGGAACAUCUGUGGCGAAGGCGGCCAUCUGGACCAGCACUGACACUGAGGCACGAAAGCGUGGGGAGCAAACAGG